GACGAACGCUGGCGGCGUGCCUAAUACAUGCAAGUAGAACGCUGAAGGAGGAGCUUGCUUCUCUGGAUGAGUUGCGAACGGGUGAGUAACGCGUAGGUAACCUGCCUGGUAGCGGGGGAUAACUAUUGGAAACGAUAGCUAACACCGCAUAAUAGCAGUUAUUGCAUGAUAACUGUUUGAAAGGUGCAAUUGCACCACUACCAGAUGGACCUGCGUUGUAUUAGCUAGUUGGUGGGGUAACGGCUCACCAAGGCGACGAUACAUAGCCGACCUGAGAGGGUGAUCGGCCACACUGGGACUGAGACACGGCCCAGACUCCUACGGGAGGCAGCAGUAGGGAAUCUUCGGCAAUGGACGGAAGUCUGACCGAGCAACGCCGCGUGAGUGAAGAAGGUUUUCGGAUCGUAAAGCUCUGUUGUAAGAGAAGAACGAGUGUGAGAGNGGAAAGUUCACACNGNGACGG
rnacentral:rRNA from 1 species